GAGAUUGGUUGGGUAACACCUUCUAAACCUCCCACCCUUUGUUUACAUUACCUUUGUUGCUUUGGCAGGCCCGUCUUUAGACCACCGGCCUUGGCUGGUCAGCGCCUGCCAGAGGACCUAAAACUCUGUUUAAUUGUAUUGUCUGAGUACUAUAUAAUAGUUAAAACUUUCAACAACGGAUCUCUUGGUUCU
rnacentral:misc_RNA from 1 species